CAAGUUUUUUGAAACUAUUGAGAACAAAGAUGCAACAUACCACUCGAGUGUGCAGUGGGGAAACCAACCUUGGAGAGCCGAGCAUGUG
rfam:Nomascus leucogenys chromosome 1a, whole genome shotgun sequence.